GGCGAUGUAGCUCUCUGGCAGAGCACUUGCCUAGCAUGUAUGAGAUUCUAGGUUUAAUUCCUAAUAUUGCUG
rnacentral:tRNA from 1 species